rnacentral:lncRNA from 1 species
UAUAAUACCACAAGUACAUCAUAAAAUGCAUGUCUGUGCUAGAACUUCAGUGCCCGAUAAAGAGAUAAUAGUAAAAGAAAAAAAAAUUUCCUUAUGAGAUUAUUAUUUGAUUAUUCCCAAUGAGAUUAUUAUUUUUAUGACUAAGAAAGAAAUGUGUAAAAGAUAUUCUCAUAGAGACCUCCUCCGACUAAUUUUAGUUUAAGCGAUUUGAUAAGCGAUUAUUUGGAUUAAUUCUUCUUUUUUUAUACGGGCAACAACAAACACUUCCACUUGAACCAAAGUGAGGAUUAGGCACACAUAAAGCUACAUUAAAGCCCAACUUCAUGCAUGGUUGUUCACAAUCUUCUUUACUUGUGCAUGAGCCCAAAUAUUCACAUGCUUCUUCUGAACCAUUUACAUUUUCUACAUUCAACAAAAGGGAGAAAAGAGAGUGAGAAGUGUACAUACACAAGAAGCAAAGGAGAUACGAAAAAACUAUGUUACUCAGACUCUUUAACAACAUCGUCGGAUGCAUAUUGAGUCCUUCAAAAGCAAUAUCUUUUUUGAAAAUUCGAUACUGGUGCGAUAAUAUUUUUGGAAAAUGUGAGUAACAUAGCGAAAAACUACUCCUUUUGUUUAAAAGAAAAGGAAGAAGUUUAGAGUAAAACAUGUUAAUUUUCUAAUUUUUUGGUCUUCUUUUGAAUAUAUAAUUCCCAAUAUUUUUAAACUAAAAUAUACAUAAUAAAAAUUAAAUAAAAAUACUAUAAGUUACGAUUCUCUAUAUAUAUAUAGAGUUGUGAUUAAAGAAAACAAUGUUUAAUUCUCAAAAAUAGUAAUAAUGUCAUGUAAAGUGAAAUAGAGAAAGUAGUAUGCAGAACUUUAGUAUUGUCCUAACCUUUGGCUUGAGAAGAAACAAGAGAAAGUAAAACAAAAAGAGCAACAAUAAUUUGAGAUUUGUGUGACAUCAUUUCUCUUUGUAUAAUCCCCUUUUAG